CCUACGGGCGGCAGCAGUCGAGAAUCAUUCACAAUGGGGGAAACCCUGAUGGUGCGACGCCGCGUGGGGGAAUGAAGGUCUUCGGAUUGUAAACCCCUGUCAUGUGGGAGCAAAUUAAAAAGAUAGUACCACAAGAGGAAGAGACGGCUAACUCUGUGCCAGCAGCCGCGGUAAUACAGAGGUCUCAAGCGUUGUUCGGAAUCACUGGGCGUAAAGCGUGCGUAGGCUGUUUCGUAAGUCGUGUGUGAAAGGCGCGGGCUCAACCCGCGGACGGCACAUGAUACUGGGAGACUAGAGUAAGGGAGGGGGAACCGGAAUUCUCGGUGUAGCAGUGAAAUGCGUAGAUAUCGGGAGGAACACUCGUGGCGAAGGCGGGUUCCUGGACAUUAACUGACGCUGAGGCACGAAGGCCAGGGGAGCGAAAGGGAUUAGAUACCCGGGUAGUC
rnacentral:rRNA from 1 species